rnacentral:tRNA from 1 species
GGGGAUUUGGCUCAGUGGUAGAGCGCUUGUCUAGCAAGCACAAGGCCCUGGGUUCAAUCCCCAGCUCCG